AGAUCGAUUUAGUCCCGAGUCCGCCGUCUCUGCCCAGGACUAGGGUCUCUAGAGCAUCACGGCACACCGGCUCACAGCCCCGUUUCCGAAAACGAGUCAAACCAGCAGACACGGAAUAUGAAAGAAAUCAAAAAUUACGAGAAACAAAAUUAGAAGCAAUACAGUGUACCAGAGAAUACGAUAGGAUAUUAUUCGAGACUAAACUGCAGCAUUUGGAAGAGAAGAGGAGAGAAGAUAGAGACAUUUAUGAAUUGAAGAAGAGAAAAUUGGAAUUGGAAAUUAGCUUAUUGGGAAAACAAAAUAAAAAUUAAAUUUGUACAAAUUU